AGAGUUUGAUCCUGGCUCAGGACGAACGCUGGCGGCGUGCCUAAUACAUGCAAGUAGGACGCACAGUUUAUACCGUAGCUUGCUACACCAUAGACUGUGAGUUGCGAACGGGUGAGUAACGCGUAGGUAACCUACCUAUUAGAGGGGGAUAACUAUUGGAAACGAUAGCUAAUACCGCAUAACAGUAUGUAACACAUGUUAGAUGCUUGAAAGAUGCAAUUGCAUCGCUAGUAGAUGGACCUGCGUUGUAUUAGCUAGUAGGUAGGGUAAUGGCCUACCUAGGCAACGAUACAUAGCCGACCUGAGAGGGUGAUCGGCCACACUGGGACUGAGACACGGCCCAGACUCCUACGGGAGGCAGCAGUAGGGAAUCUUCGGCAAUGGGGGGAACCCUGACCGAGCAACGCCGCGUGAGUGAAGAAGGUUUUCGGAUCGUAAAGCUCUGUUGUUAAGGAAGAACGAGUGUGAGAAUGGAAAGUUCAUGCUGUGACGGUACUUAACCAGAAAGGGACGGCUAACUACGUGCCAGCAGCCGCGGUAAUACGUAGGUCCCGAGCGUUGUCCGGAUUUAUUGGGCGUAAAGCGAGCGCAGGCGGUUAGAAAAGUCUGAAGUGAAAGGCAGUGGCUCAACCAUUGUAGGCUUUGGAAACUGUUUAACUUGAGUGCAGAAGGGGAGAGUGGAAUUCCAUGUGUAGCGGUGAAAUGCGUAGAUAUAUGGAGGAACACCGGUGGCGAAAGCGGCUCUCUGGUCUGUAACUGACGCUGAGGCUCGAAAGCGUGGGGAGCGAACAGGAUUAGAUACCCUGGUAGUCCACGCCGUAAACGAUGAGUGCUAGGUGUUAGGUCCUUUCCGGGACUUAGUGCCGCAGCUAACGCAUUAAGCACUCCGCCUGGGGAGUACGACCGCAAGGUUGAAAC
rnacentral:rRNA from 1 species